UGAAGUUCUGCUUAAUGUAGAGGCUUUAUUAAAAUACGGCAAAGAGAAUCCAGAACAACGCACAUAGUAGACAAGCGCUUUCCUGCGGAGCCCUGUAUUGAAGCCCUGCUACUAUUUCUGGCUCUGCAAUCAUUUGAAGCGGAUAUUAACAGUCUUUCCUGCAAUAGUGGCCACGUUAGCUGACAUUAUUCCCAGAAGUCUAUAACUUGCACCAUUGAUUUCCUGCAAGACAGAGAAGCCCAGGUCCUCUGUGGAAGACAGCUUUGUGAAGGGACAGCAGAACACUUACACGUCUUUACCAUCAUGAAUUCUCAAAGCAGACUAUCAGUGGGAAGAUCAUGUCUCUGUUAAUGGAUAAUUAAAAAAAAUGGUUACAACUGG